rnacentral:rRNA from 1 species
GACGAACGCUGGCGGCGUGCCUAAUACAUGCAAGUCGAACGAGAGCGACCGGUGCUUGCACUGGUCAAUCUAGUGGCGAACGGGUGAGUAACACGUGGGUAACCUGCCCAUCAGAGGGGGAUAACAUCCGGAAACGGAUGCUAAAACCGCAUAGGUCUUCGAACCGCAUGGUUUGAAGAGGAAAAGAGGCGCAAGCUUCUGCUGAUGGAUGGACCCGCGGUGCAUUAGCUAGUUGGUGAGGUAACGGCUCACCAAGGCCGUGAUGCAUAGCCGACCUGAGAGGGUGAUCGGCCACAUUGGGACUGAGACACGGCCCAAACUCCUACGGGAGGCAGCAGUAGGGAAUCUUCCGCAAUGGACGCAAGUCUGACGGAGCAACGCCGCGUGAGUGAAGAAGGUUUUCGGAUCGUAAAACUCUGUUGUUAGCGAAGAACAAGUGCUAGAGUAACUGUUAGCGCCUUGACGGUAUCUAACCAGAAAGCCACGGCUAACUACGUG